AUUGAACGCUGGCGGCAGGCUUAACACAUGCAAGUCGAGCGGAGAUGAGGUGCUUGCACCUUAUCUUAGCGGCGGACGGGUGAGUAAUGCUUAGAAAUCUGCCUAUUAGUGGGGGACAACAUUCCGAAAGGAAUGCUAAUACCGCAUACGUCCUACGGGAGAAAGCAGGGGAUCUUCGGACCUUGCGCUAAUAGAUGAGCCUAAGUCGGAUUAGCUAGUUGGUGGGGUAAAGGCCGACCAAGGCGACGAUCUGUAGCGGGUCUGAGAGGAUGAUCCGCCAAACUGGGACUGAGACACGGCCCAGACUCCUACGGGAGGCAGCAGUGGGGAAUAUUGGACAAUGGGGGGAACCCUGAUCCAGCCAUGCCGCGUGUGUGAAGAAGGCCUUAUGGUUGUAAAGCACUUUAAGCGAGGAGGAGGCUACUGAGACUAAUACUCUUGGAUAGUGGACGUUACUCGCAGAAUAAGCACCGGCUAACUCUGUGCCAGCCGCCGCAGUAAUAC
rnacentral:rRNA from 1 species